rnacentral:lncRNA from 1 species
AUUAACCUAGUUUAACAAAGAAAACUACCCUGUGCCAGAUUUUCUGGGUUGUUCUCAGCAUCUCAGUUACCAAGGUGACUGUUUCCUGUACGAUUGCUAAUGCUUUAUAAUCUCGAUCGUGAUAUCUAAGUGACUUCCUCUUCUCUGUCAGGAGAUGUAAGAUCUGCUCUUGCCCUGGGCUCCUCUGAACCCCCUUCCGAAGCGCGGAGGAUUCAGGUCCUGGUGCUGUGCCGGCCGCUCUGCUCCGCUGCCGCCGCGGGCCCGGCUGCCGCGGCUGCGUCCCCAUG